UCAUUGUACCUUAGCAUCUUCCAAACGCAACAACGGGGCUUUAGUUGAGUAGUUGCUUCGAAAUCAAUCCUACUUUUCGUCGAGGUUGGUGUCAAGCUCCUCUAUUAACUACUCUUGUAUUAAUGAUUAUUAUUUAUUUUGGUCCAGGUUCACUGUACCUUAGUAUCUUCCCAACGCAACAACGAGGCUUCAGUUGAGUAGUUGCUUCGAAAUCAAUCAUACCUUUUUCGAUUUUGUUGUGAAAUUGCAACAUCAUCAUCAAAAUCCAUUUGUUUUUGUUUUUCUUCCUUUUCUUUUUCGCAAUCUCUCUGUACCUAUUUCAAUGGCGAUUUCGGAUGAAUCUGCAGCAGAUUCCAAAAUUUCGUCACCAAAUACAUUCGGAUCCAUCGUAAUUGGAGGCAUCUUCGAUCGAUUACACGACGAUCACUACCUUUUCCUCAAAAAAGUGGCGGAAUUGGGUAGGGAUCGCAUUGUGGUUGGAGUUUGUGAUGGACCCAUGUUGAGUAAGAAAUAGGUAUUUUUAACAUCUUUAUGCUUUAUGUGAAUCCAUGUUUGUUGAUUACUUACUGGGUGAUUACUAUAAAUUGCUCAUUGCUUCACUUCAUAAUUUUCUCUGGAUAAAGUCACGCAAAUUUUCUCUAACACAAUUUUCUCUAGAUAUGGCCACACAAAGUCACACAAAUUUUCUCUUACACAAUAGAGCCACAUAAAACCACACAAAUUUUAUCUCCACAAUUUCUCUGUGAAAUCCAGAGGAUAGAGAAAAUUCGUCUAAAGAAAUUCUCUGUGAACCAAAAUUUCUCUGUGAAAUCGAGAGAAAAUUCGUCCAGAGAAAUUAAAAGUUUGUUAUUGCAAUCCAGAGAAAAUUAUAAUUAUUACAAAUUUCUCUGGACUUUUAUGUUGUGUUUUUUAUGUGUUUUUAUAUUAAACAAAUUAUUUUUCACCUAUUUUUCUUGUGAGUUUCUUAGAACUCUUUGAUCAUUUAUGGUUUAUAUUGCUUAAAGCACGCUGUGUUAAAUAGCUGGAAGAGAAGUGCUCGUGGAGAGAUUGUUUGAAGAUGAUCAAGUUUGUUGAAUUUCUCUGAGAAGUCCAGUCUAGAGAAAUUUGGAUUCCCAGAAUUUCUCUAGAGUUGUGGCUGUGUUUUUUUCUCUUUUCUUUGAGCUGUUGUUGGCUCAAGUGAGAUCAUAGGUGGCUAGUUUGCAGUCGUUGUAUCUGCUUGUUGUCCAGCUUAUUCUAGAAGGGUCAAAUCGAGCCAUUGAUGAGUGGAGUUGAUACUGUUAUUGCCUCAUGCUACCUCUAGUUAAUCAUUUGUCUUGUUGUGCAUUUGUGUUGAUGCUAUCAAAGUGCUGUUACUUC